UACGUAAGGUGCGAGCGUUGUCCGGAAUUAUUGGGCGUAAAGGGCUCGUAGGCGGUUUGUCGCGUCGGGAGUGAAAACCCAGGGCUUAACCCUGGGCUGGCUUCCGAUACGGGCAGACUAGAGGUAUGCAGGGGAGAACGGAAUUCCUGGUGUAGCGGUGAAAUGCGCAGAUAUCAGGAGGAACACUGGUGGCGAAGGCGGUUCUCUGGGCAUUACCUGACGCUGAGGAGCGAAAGUGUGGGGAGCGAACAGG
rnacentral:rRNA from 1 species